UGAGGGAGACCUGAAGAAGAAAGCUUGGU
rnacentral:piRNA from 2 species